GAUGAACGCUGGCGGCGUGCCUAAUACAUGCAAGUCGAGCGAACAGACGAGGAGCUUGCUCCUCUGACGUUAGCGGCGGACGGGUGAGUAACACGUGGAUAACCUACCUAUAAGACUGGGAUGACUUCGGGAAACCGGAGCUAAUACCGGAUAAUAUAUUGAACCGCAUGGUUCACUAGUGAAAGUCGGUUUUGCUGUCACUUAUAGAUGAAUCCGCGCCGCAUUAGCUAGUUGGUAAGGUAACGGCUUACCAAGGCAACGAUGCGUAGCCGACCUGAGAGGGUGAUCGGCCACACUGGAACUGAGACACGGUCCAGACACCGACGGGAGGCAGCAGUAGGGAAUCUUCCGCAAUGGGCGAAAGCCUGACGGAGCAACGCCGCGUGAGGGAUGAAGGUCUUCGGAUCGGAAAACUCUGUUAUUAGGGAAGAACAAAUGUGUAAGUAACUAUGCACGUCUUGACGGUACCUAAACAGAAAGCCACGGCUAACUACGUG
rnacentral:rRNA from 1 species